CCUGGUUGAUCCUGCCAGUAGCAUAUGCUUGUCUCAAAGAUUAAGCCAUGCAUGUCUAAGUACAAGCCGCUUCGUACGGCGAAACCGCGAAUGGCUCAAUAAAUCAGUUAUGGUUCCUUAGAUCCACUCAUCCUACUUGGAUAACUGUGGUAAUUCUAGAGCUAAUACAUGCACUCGAGUCCCGUUACCCUGGCGCUUCACGGCGUCAGGGAGUAGGGAUGCUUUUAUUAGAUCAAAACCAGUACGCGAGUCGCAAGGCGAGCGUAAACUUUUUGGUGACUCUGGAUAACUUCACGCGGAUCGCACGGCCUUCGAGCCGGCGACGUGUCUUUCAAAUGUCUGCCUUAUCAACUUUCGAUGGUAGGUUACGCGCCUACCAUGGUUGCAACGGGUAACGGGGAAUCGGGGUUCGGUUCCGGAGAGGGAGCCUGAGAAACGGCUACCACAUCCAAGGAAGGCAGCAGGCGCGCAAAUUACCCACUCCCGGCACGGGGAGGUAGUGACGAAAAAUAACGAUACGGGACUCUUCCGAGGCCCCGUGAUUGGAAUGAGUACACUUUAAAUCCUUUAACGAGGACCCAUUGGAGGGCAAGUCUGGUGCCAGCAGCCGCGGUAACUCCAGCUCCAAUAGCGUAUAUUAAAGUUGUUGCGGUUAAAAAGCUCGUAGUCGGAACUAUGUCUUCGGCCGGGUUGGUCGGGGUCUGUCCUUAACUGGGCGCCUCGGCCUGAAGCCUUGCGGUGUGUCGGGUAACACCGGCAUACUGCUUAGCGGUCGGACAUAACCGCCGGAGUGUCGCGGGCUUUAGGCGCGGUCUUAACCGGUCGCGUCUCGAGUCUCGGCACAAUCAAAUCGGCCGGGGUGCUCUUAACCGAGUGUCCCGGUCGGCCGGCAAACGUUUACUUUGAACAAAUUAGAGUGCUCAAAGCAGGCCGAUCUUAGCCCUGAAUAUCGCAGCAUGGAAUGAUGGAAUAGGACCUCGGUCUUAUUUUGCUGGUCUUUUUCUCAUAGACCCGAGGUAAUGGUCAAUAGAGACGGACGGGGGCAUCCGUACUGCGGCGACAGAGGUGAAAUUCUUGGACCGCCGCAAGACGAACGACAGCGAAGGCAUUUGCCAAGAAUGUUUUCCUUGAUCAAGAACGAAAGUUAGAGGUUCGAAGGCGAUCAGAUACCGCCCUAGUUCUAACCAUAAACGAUGCCGACCAGCGAUCCGCCGGUGUUACUCCCAUGACUCGGCGGGCGGCUUCCGGGAAACCAAAGUCUUUGGGUUCCGGGGGAAGUAUGGUUGCAAAGCUGAAACUUAAAGGAAUUGACGGAAGGGCACCACCAGGAGUGGAGCCUGCGGCUUAAUUUGACCCAACACGGGAAACCUCACCAGGCCCGGACACUGGAAUGAUUGACAGAUUGAGAGCUCUUUCUCGAUUCGGUGGGUGGUGGUGCAUGGCCGUUCUUAGUUGCUGGAGCGAUUUGUCUGGUUAAUUCCGAUAACGAACGAGACUCUAUCCUGCUAAAUAGGUGGCGGGUUUCUAUGCCUCCGAGUGCGGCGGCGGGCGCAAGCCCGUCGCCGUACGAAGGGGAAACUUGGGUGCGGUGGCCGACGGGACCAGGGCCGCGUGUUUGUCGGUCUCGAGUGCGCGGGUCAAACUGCGUAUUUGGG
rnacentral:rRNA from 1 species